rnacentral:rRNA from 1 species
AUUGAACGCUAGCGGGAUGCCUUACACAUGCAAGUCGAACGGAGUGGCGAACGGGCGAGUAAUGUAUCGGAACGUGCCCAGUAGCGGGGGAUAACUACGCGAAAGCGUAGCUAAUACCGCAUACUAUUGGAGCUGCCGAUAUAGGAUGAGCGAGAUGGUGGGGUAACGGCGCACCAAGGCGACGAUCCGUAGCGGGGUUGAGAGGACGACCAGCCACACUGGGACUAAGACACGGCCCAUACUCCUUCGGGAGGCAGCAGUGGGGAAUUUUGUACAAUGGAGGAAACACUGAUCCAGCCAUCCCGCUUGUACGAUGAAGGCCUUCGGGUUGUAAAGCACUUUUGGCAGGAAAGCGGUACCUGCAGAAUAAGCACCGGCUAACUACGUGCCAGCAGCCGCGGUAAUUC